rnacentral:lncRNA from 1 species
UGAGAUCGCCUCUUCGUCAUCAGCCAAGAUAGUGAUUAGUGAUCCUACUGAAUGAAAUCGAUGUCUUCCCAAUAAGAAAGUGAACGAUGCCUUGAUAUAAAUUAUAGGAAGGUUUAAUUGUAAGGGGCGAAAAAGAAGGAUACUUCAUCAAAAGUAGGUGCAUUCUAACAAUCAUGGGCUUAUUGGCUUGAUAUUUUCUUUGUAUGUUACUUUUUUUCUGAUAAUAAAUUUACAAUUUUUCUGCAUAUACAGAUAGAGCAUACAAGAGAGGAAAUAUAUAAUUUAUGGUAAUUUAAGUUUAAAUGGAGAAGCUUCUUCAUCCAUACCACAAGGAAUACACGAAGAUGGCUAUGUUAAAGCACGAGGAAACAUUUCGAGAACAGUUAGAUAAAAUUCCAAUUUCCCUUUGUGCAUUCUGUGAAUUAUUGUAGAAUGUCCCUAAUCUUGAAUUUCUAUAUAUAUUUUUAGGUUUUCAAGCUUCAUCGUCUUUAUCGAAUCCAGAAGAUACUCAAGAAGGAUAUCGUCAAAAAUAUGCGAGAAGGGCAGGAUUAUGAGAUUCUUUCUAUUAAUCAGAUUAAUGAAAUCGAAGAUGAGAGCGAACUUGAGCUGACAUUAGGCCUGAAAAUUUAUAAUGGAAGGAGAAAGGCUGGUGCAGGGACGGAUCCAGGAAUUUUUGGCGCAAGGGCUAAAAUUUAAAAGUGGAUACAAUAUCAGCCUCAGCGGCAUGUUUCUCCACAUCUGUACUAAAGAAGAGGUUAUUGCCCCUACACUGCUUCACAACAUCCUCAAGGCCUGGCUCAUAAAGGGGGAGCUGAUUGCUAUUCCAGGCACUGAUACGAGGAAUAGAAAUGUCAACGAUGCCUACUUCAAUUUUAGGGCAUUUAAGUGCUAUGAUGGGGCCUCCAACAUAACCAGCGCCAAUACUUUACAAGACAUGUAUUGAUCUCUAAAGUCACUUCAUAUUUUAACCAGCAGAAAUUCAGAUAAGCAAUAGAAUCAGGGAGCUCUUUUAGAUCUAAACCAAUCACAUAGUUAAACAAUAAUUACAAUGUCACGGUUGGAACUCUCGUUUCUGCUUCGCCGAAACCGUGACUCGAUCAAUGUUUCAAUCCCAGCUGAAAUCAGCCGAAAUACCCCAACAAAGAAAAGAUAAAAGAGAAGGGGGAGGGAUUAAACGAUGUAAAAUAAGAAUAAGAGGAAGAAAACUGAAUUGAAUUGCUUCAAUUAACACUCAAUUUGGCAUAAAAUCACAUUACACAUGCUGGAUAAAUACACACAUUCGAAGUCGUGUUUUCACAAAAUGAACAGUAAAAGAACGAUUAUAACUUAACUAAAGAGUAGAAACUAGAAAUCAUAUAUGAAAACUUCAAAUCCCAAAAAAAAGCGUGUAACAAAAAUUAAAUGAACAGUGAAAAUUUUAAUAAACUUCUUGCCUUCUCCAAUGUUUAAUCAGUUUGAUGGUUCCAAAGUCAAACUUCUAAAAAGCAUUAACAACUAACAACCCACCGGCCCACUACAAAGAAAAAUCCAAGUCUGAAAUUCUAAAAUCCCAAGAAAAUCACUUGAUUCACCUGACGAGUCAAGCCUCACGGUCACGAACUCACGACGUCGACGGUGACUCGUGGUUGUGGUCCUUGUGGAGGAGAUUGGGAAGGAAGUGAGGAAUCGUGACCGUCGAACCGACUCAAUGCGAGGAAGGGGAGAUUUUUAUAAAUGGCCUACUACUAUUCAUUUUUGGUAAAAUGUCUAUAAUACCCUUAAUGAAAUAAUUUAUCAUAUAUUGCACAAG